CCCUUAGAUGUUCUGGGCCGCACGCGCGCUACACUGAUGCAUUCAACGAGCCUAUCCUUGACCGACAGGUCCGGGUAAUCUUUGAAUCUGCAUCGUGACGGGGAUAGAUUAUUGCAAUUAUUAAUCUUCAACGAGGAAUGCCUAGUAGGCGCAAGUCAUCAGCUUGCGUCGAUUACGUCCCUGCCCUUUGUACACACCGCCCGUCGCUCCUACCGAUUGGGUGUGCUGGCGAAAUGUUCGGAUCGGCCGUUUGUCGCGGUUUCCGCGGCUCGUGGCUGAGAAGUUCAUUAAACCCUCCCACCUAGAGGAAGGAGAAGUCGUAACA
rnacentral:rRNA from 1 species